UAUCUUUGGAAUAAAAGUAUAUGGGUUGAUGGAAAUCAGUAAAAUUAGGUAAUAAGUAAAAUCCGCCAUUUUGAUAAUUAAAUAAAUAAGUAAACUGUCUUACCUUGCUAGAAUCUACGAGAUUCAUUUUGUAUGUUGACGUUGUAGGGAUAUCCUAUAGCAAUCAAAUCAUGCGAGUGAUGACGUCAUAACAAUAACACGCAUGCGAGACAUUUAGGAUUUCCGGAAGCCCACGAACUUAUGUAUCCACGAAAUUAUGUGACUAGACUGU
rnacentral:lncRNA from 1 species